rnacentral:rRNA from 1 species
GACGAACGCUGGCGGCGUACUUAACACAUGCAAGUCGAACGGAAAGGCCCUGCUUUUGUGGGGUGCUCGAGUGGCGAACGGGUGAGUAACACGUGAGUAACCUGCCCUUGACUUUGGGAUAACUUCAGGAAACUGGGGCUAAUACCGGAUAGGAGCUCCUGCUGCAUGGUGGGGGUUGGAAAGUUUCGGCGGUUGGGGAUGGACUCGCGGCUUAUCAGCUUGUUGGUGGGGUAGUGGCUUACCAAGGCUUUGACGGGUAGCCGGCCUGAGAGGGUGACCGGCCACAUUGGGACUGUGAUACGGCCCAGACUCCUACGGGAGGCAGCAGUGGGGAAUAUUGCACAAUGGGCGGAAGCCUGAUGCAGCAACGCCGCGUGCGGGAUGACGGCCUUCGGGUUGUAAACCGCUUUCGCCUGUGACGAAGCGUGAGUGACGGUAAUGGGUAAAGAAGCACCGGCUAACUACGUG